rnacentral:lncRNA from 1 species
AGUCAAUUUAAUAUUAAUGAUUUUGUACAUUCGCUUAUUCGUAGGUAUUUUUUAAAUAACGUCAUUAAUUAUUGUAUCUAAUUUCAUUAUAGUGUGAAACAAAAAUCAAUAAUAUAAUAUUAUCAUAGUGAUUAGAUUAUUACUUUUCCAUCUUUGUACACAAACACAAACAUAAUAAUUUAGGUAAAUACAUUUUAAUAUUAUAAUAUGUACACAAAUAUUUAAAAUAAACAUAAUAUUGCAGCAACCGACCCGCGGUCAUCUCAUGAUAAUAUAAAUCAAACGAUAAACCUAAUAAUAUUAAUAGUUUAUUACCUAUAUAAUAUUUUAUAAAUUAUUUUAAUGGACCUGAACAUUUCGUCGUAACCGUUUCGUUACCAAUCAUUUAACAGCAGUUUUGAACGUAGGAAGGAUUAACGGGGAGGGUGGUUAACAUUCUUUUACUAAACGAAUGUACAUAUUUAUGUUUAGAAUGGCAGGGCAAUUUAAAUUGGCGGUGUGUUAUGUUAAAUAACUAAAUAUUGCAUUUUCGAUUUAAUGAUUAUCGUAGUCUAAUGAUAGGUGACGGACUAUAUUGAAGAUGAUUUUUUAAUCGUUUUUGAAAUUCUUAAUGAAAAGUGGAGAUCAUGAACAUAUAAUAGUAGAGAGUUAGAAAACAUAAUACAUAUUACUAGUUUUAUAAAAUAUUUAGUCUUGCAAACUGCAAUAUCAGGAUUGAUGUACCUAUUUUUGGUAAAUUAAUUAAUUAAAAUAAAUUAUAAGUACAUUAUAAUAUUAAAUUCAUAUUUUUACAAAUUGCGUAAUAUUUUAAUUAUAAUUUAUAAUAAUUAUAAUUAUCAUCAGUUUUCAUCGAGCUAUUAAAGUAUUUUCAUUUAAAAUGGCUUUUCUUGAAGUUUAAAGUAUUUACUUCUAGAGCAUUGGAAAUUGCUAGAUGGCGUUAAAUGUUAACAAAUUUUAACCCCCUAUUAUCCCGUUAACCCUUCCUACACUAGUUCAAAAUUGCUGUGAAACGGCCAUGACCGAAAAAUCCUAGAUCCUUAUAAUGUUAACAUAUAAAUUAGUACAAUCAUUAUAAUAAUAUGUUAUACAACCUUGGCAGUAGAACAUACGGUUCAGAUUAUAAUAAUAUAGAUAUUACAUAUACCUAUAUAACAUUAUACAAUUUUGUAAACGUGACUCAUGAGAUUAUCAUCUAAUAAAUAGUAAAAAUAAUUGUAAAACAUGCGAAUAGUAAUUUUUUAAAAAUCUAUAACAAUAAUAAUGUGUUUUGGGUCCCAAAAGCUGAGAAUUAGAUGACUUACAUCCCCAAUAUUUGUAUACAUUUGUAGUAGGUGGAUUGCGUCAUAAUUGUGAUUCAGCCAAUUAGCGUUUCCCAGAGGACAUCACGAAAGGGUAUUUUUUUAGUGAACAUCUACUGCGUGAUUACUACCCCCAUCCAUGUCCAUGUUGAAUAUUUUUGUAAUUUUUUUUGAAAGUUAAAAAUUGCGCUAUAAAUAUAUUUUUUUUAAAUUAAAAAACACUCGAAAAUUAAAAUUUUUUUGAGUACUU